rnacentral:rRNA from 1 species
AUGUCUUCCUCCUCCUCCUCCGGUGCUUCCCAGACCACCCUCAAUGGGCAGGUCACCGAGAAGCUAACACGCACGAACUACGUGCUCUGGUGCACGCAGGUCACUCCCCAUCUGUGCGGCGCCCGCGUCUUCGGCUACGUCGACGGCACCACACCGGAGCCGGCCAGGCUUCAUGUCACCAAGGACAAGGAUGGCAAAGAAAGCGCUGAGCCCAACCCUCUCCACCCAAUCUGGGUCCGGAAGGAUCAACAGGUGUUGGGCUACCUGCUCAGCACCCUCUCCAAGGAGGUCCUGAUCGCGGUGACCACGGUC